ACCCCUUUGUAGUUUAUAAGCAUGAUGGUUGGGUUUUCACAUUGCCUGUAUGAGAUGUGCCUCUCUCAAACCUUGUUAGGAUGUAGGCACAUUACCUGUCUGACA